rnacentral:rRNA from 1 species
GACGUAGGGCGCGAGCGUUGUCCGGAUUUAUUGGGCGUAAAGAGCUCGUAGGCGGCUUGUCGCGUCGACUGUGAAAACCCGCGGCUUAACUGCGGGACUGCAGUCGAUACGGGCAGGCUAGAGUUCGGUAGGGGAGACUGGAAUUUCUGGUGUAGCGGUGAAAUGCGCAGAUAUCAGGAGGAACACCGGUGGCGAAGGCGGAUCUCUGGGCCUUACCUGACGCUCAGGUGCGAAAGCUAGGGGAGCGAACAGG